UUCUGAUCAAGUUAAUUUGCGCAAAUAUAAGAGACGUAAUAUCUUUUAUAUAUUGUCUUUGUUCCAAUGCAAGAUGUUGCAUCUCAAACUUUUUUUAUUGUUUUAUUGGGGUGCCGAGGUCCCGAAAAAAAUGCAUGCAGAAGAUUUGUGUGAAGAACGCAUACAACACAUAUACCGGAGGCUUUAUUUUCUCACCCUUUCUUACCCACACACAAAUUUUUCUCCUUAGCACCCUCUAAAGUAUUUCACAAUAUUCAGUUCUUUGUGGAAUUUUCCAUCGAAAGUACGCAAAAUAUUUUGUCUUCAAUCAAUGUGAUAUGUGAAAAGUAAAUUUAAUCCAUUUGUAUAGUAGUUUUGAGAGUGAAAAUUGUGGAAAAGCCGAUUGUUAAAAAAAGAGGAUAAACAUGACAAGGUAUUGUAUAAUUUAAGUGAAUAACAAUUCUUUAUAUUACGAAUUGAUUUACAACAAAUAAAAUUAUCAACUUUGAAUUCAACCAACUAAUUAUAUGAUUUUACAAUCUUGCAGUAAAACAGGAAGAGGAAUGGAUCAUAUUCUCAUCGAAGCCUUCCUGUCUGUACCUGAAUGGUCUGCCCAUCCCCAAUAAUAAUUGAAACAGGAUAAAGUAAAUCCAAUGGGAAAAAUUAAAAUGUAAAGGUAAGUACCUACACAUUUGCCGUGAAAUAUAUUGCAUCCAAAAACUUAUCAAUUUAUAAAAUCCAAAAUAUUAAUUCUUGUUCUAAUUUAACAGAUUUUACCGAAUGAGCGCAUAUCAAGCGCUGUCAACCCGUAAUCAAAUUUUGGAAACAUAGAUUGAACGAAGAGGAUAAACACGAAAAGUUAAUCAGACUACAAUAAACAACCGGAAAAUGGGUCAUAUUCUCAUCGAAGCCGUCUUGUCUGUACCUGGAUAGAGUCUAUGAUCGAAAACAUUGAUUGAGAUAGGACAGAGGAAAUCAAAUCACGAGAAAUAAAGUUUAAAGAUUCCGCCAACUGACAUAAAGAACAGAACUUUCGCGAUUCCUUGAAAGGGUACUUUGGAAGAAAAUGACGCUAAGACACUCACAUGAAUCUGCCGAACUUCACUGAACAAAAAGGCUUUUCAAAACGGGAUACCUGCCUAGUUAAUUAUUAUAACUAUUACAUACAAUGUAAUAUAAAUUAAAUUGAAAUAAAAAAUUAUUUUUUUAAAUCAAAAUUCAAUAUUUAAUU